AAACAUCGCCUCCUGCAGUAUAUAGGAGGUCCAGCCUGCCCAGUGACCAAGUUAAACGGCCGCGGUACCCUAACCGUGCGAAGGUAGCGCAAUCACUUGUUCUUUAAAUGAGGACUAGUAUGAAUGGCAUCACGAGGGUUACACUGUCUCCCACCUCUAAUCAGUGAAACUGAUCUCCCCGUGAAGAAGCGGGGAUAAAACUAUAAGACGAGAAGACCCCAUGGAGCUUCAAACCCGGCAUCAACCAUUAACAUUAAUACCACAUUAAAUAAAUGGACCUGACUGCUGGUUUUAGGUUGGGGUGACCGCGGAGCAUAACAAAACCUCCAUGAUGAACGACCUCCUCUCUAAUCCGAGAGCCACCACUCAAAGAAUCAAAAAAUUGACAUUUAUUGACCCAAACUAUUUUGAUCAACGAACCAAGUUACCCUGGGGAUAACAGCGCAAUCCAUUUCAAGAGCCCCUAUCGACAAAUGGGUUUACGACCUCGAUGUUGGAUCAGGGUAUCCUAGUGGUGCAGCCGCUACUAAAGGUUCGUUUGUUAACGAUUAAAACCCUACGUGAUCUGA
rnacentral:rRNA from 1 species